AUGGUGUUCGAGCGCCGGAACAACUUCUGUCCUCAUGCAGCUCGGCGACCCCGACGUGCUGCGCCGCCUCGCGGGCAGCUCGGGCAGUCGCCGGAGGGGAUGCAGAGCAUGGGAACCACCUUCUACACGAGCGGGCUCGGCGUCGGAAACUUCCUCAACAGCCUGCUUGUGACGUUUGUCGACCGGGCUACCAGGGCGAGCGCCGGCAAGAGCUGGAUCGGUGACAACCUGAACGACUCGCACCUCGACUACUACUACGUGUUGCUGCUGCUACUCUCCGUGGUGAACAUGGCGCUCUUUGUGUGCAACUAA
rnacentral:rRNA from 1 species